UAACCUAUUAACAAUUUAUUACCUGCCGGUACAAGUAUAGGCCAGUGCGGCCGACCCCUAGCUGAACUUGUUGUCGAAAACAGUCAUAGGCAUCACUGGGGGCGAAUAUAGUCCUAGGGAUAACAUACCACAUGUACACGCGAACAUAAGUCUGGAUCACCUCGUCAUCGGCGUCCUUAGGACAAUCCAAGUGAAAGGAGCGCCAGCCGGGACUCUAUCUUUCUUCCCUCCAUCUUCUACCUCC
rnacentral:lncRNA from 1 species